rnacentral:rRNA from 1 species
CCUACGGGGGGCUGCAGUAGGGAAUAUUGGACAAUGGGCGAAAGCCUGAUCCAGCCAUGCCGCGUGAUAGAUGAAGGCCCUCUGGGUUGUAAAUAUCUUUUAUCUGGGAAGAAACAAUCUUAUUCUUAAGAUCUUGACGGUACCAGAGGAAUAAGCACCGGCUAACUCCGUGCCAGCAGCCGCGGUAAUACGGAGGGUGCAAGCGGGGUCCGGAUUCACUGGGUUUAAGGGGUGCGUAGUCGGUGGGGUAAGCCCCGGGCUUAACGUGGAAACUGCCAUUGAUACUGCCAGUCUUGAAUGUCGUAGAGGUAAGCGGAAUGUUGCAUGUAGCGGUGAAAUGCUUAGAUAUGUUACAGAACACCAAUUGCGAAGGCAGCUUACUAUGCGAUGAUUGACGCUGAGGCACGAAAGCGUGGGGAGCAAACAGGAUUAGAUACCCGUGUAGUC